GCAUGUUUUAUGGUAUGUGCUACUUGGGAGUAGUUGAUAUGCAUGUUGGGUAAGUUUGGGGGAAAGGUUUGCAUGAAUCAGAGCAGGGUUCUGCCCAGCGGGCAAAACCAGGUUCGGCCGCCGAAGGAAGAUUCGGCCGCCGAACCCCUUGUGGAGGCAGUUUCGGCUGCCAAAGCUUGCCCCCGAAACUUGGGACUUUCGUCUCUAGAGGCAAGGUUCGGCCGCCGAAGGUGCCGCCGAACAUGCAUGAGUUUCGUCUCUGGAGAGGGGUUUCGGCCGCCGAACCUGCAGCCGAAAAUGCCCUGUCCAGCUUUCUUUUGCAUGUGUUAUGUGCUAGUUUGGGGAUCGUUUAGAGGGUUUUUGGGGAGUUUCUUAGAGAUGUUCUUGAGUUCGUUUGGUCCCUCAUUUGAGUCCACCCGUGUAGGUACGGACCAGAGGAACCCCAGAGAGCAGCAGUGAGCACUGUUUCCGAACCUGCCAAGUCAGCUAGAGGUGAGUGGAACUGCUCUUUUCAGAACUAAACUAUUUUGAGCAUAUGUCAUGCAUCAUAAGUGUAUAGUAGGGUGUUUACAUUAGUUUCACGAAGUUGACGCAUUGCAUAAUACGAUGUGUAUGAGGUUGUGGAUAGACCAAGGCGACUCCAAUAGCCCAAACUCUGUUAUAAGACCUGGCCGGGCCAGGCAGCCAUCUGUAGGUAAGACCUGACUAGAUCAGGCAGCAGAGAUAGUAAGACCUGGCUGGGCCAGGCAGGCAGAGUGGUAAGACCUGGCCGGGCCAGGCAUCCUUUGAGUGGGAUUGUUGGUGGUCAUGUCUAUCCCUGAGAUGAUGUGAUGUAGUGCAUUCCAUGAGAUCAUGUUUUCACAUUAUGGUUUCUAGUUCUGCUCAUUGGGCUUGUAUAGCUCAUCCCUCUCCCAUAUCCCCCAGGUUUGCAGGUUCAGAGUCCAGAGGGAGUCCAGCAGGGUUUGCAAGAAGAAGAGUUAUGUAAUAGCUAGUAUGGACAUGUACAUGUAAAGAGAUAAUGUAUAGUGUGUAGCUUUGUGCUUGACUUAUAAGAGUUGUAAUCCCUUGUUGUAGACACAUGAUCAGUUUAUGUAUGUUUUCUUUUAUUGUUAUGAAUAUGAGAAAACUAGGCUUAACAUUAUGAGUUGAUAGAUCAGAAUGAGUGCAUGCACAGGUUAAGUCCUGGAGGAAAGAAAAGUUUUAAUAGUUUGACAGAAAAUGUAUGAUCAUGUAUGGGAUUUCACAGGUACACAGACAGUAUAGCAGGCUUACUACGGGUCCUGGCGACCUUAAGUCGAUCUGGAUCCUAGUGCCGGUAGCAGUUCGGUUUCCGGGCUGUUACAGAUUGGUAUCAGAGCCCUAGGUUCACAUGGUCGGACCUAGAUAGAUAGAGUUGGGCUCAUAGAGGAUUAGUGGGUCAAGCACAGUAGGCAAACAUGUCCACUAGGAUAGGAUGUUAGUCCUGUCUAUCUGCUGAUGUUGUGCAAUGCCAUGAUGCAUGUGUUGUUUUCCUCUAUGUGUUGCUUAUGUGCUCUGUUAUGUGUUGUUUUCCAGAGAGAGUUAAGAUGCGAGGAACUCGUCGAUCCGUGAGAUUGACUGGAGUCCCACCUGAAAGUGAGGGUACAACUGCUCGUCCUCCUGCAUUGCCAAGGGCAAGGACUCACAGGUCAAGCAGGGAGGGAACGUCAAGAGACCCGAGAAGGUCUUCUGACGAGAGCAGAAGAGGAAUAGGCAGAGGGGGAAGAUCAGAAGAAGAGAGAGUUGCUAUGGAGGAGGCUUAGAGUAGAGAUGGAAGUAUGGGUAUAGGAAGGGCAGAAGAAGGUAUGGGGGAGUCCCAGGGAGGCGUACAGGCCUCGGGGUUUGGCUAUCCACCCUUUCCACAGGGCCCAGGGGAUCCGAUGGGAGGCACGUCGAAUUACUCCAGCUUUCCCCAUAUCCACCCUAUAUGCCAUAUAUGCCCUAUCCUUCCUUCUAUCCACCAUAUCACAUGUAUCCACCCCCACCUUUUUAUCCAAGUUCAGCAUCGCCUGAAUCCAGAGAACCAGUACCUCCACCACCACCACCUGAACCAGUAGCCCCUGUUGUUGAAGCACAACCCAGUUCUUCAGGGGGAACUAAGGUGAAGAUGACGGAGUACUUAAAGUUGGAUGCUCCUAAAUUCAACACGGGAGAUGAUCCCUUUGAGUAUCUUAGUGCAGUCAGAAUGAUAACAAGUGAGUUGGGAGCAGACGAGAGCAGGGCUAUUGAGAUGGCAGGGUUCACAUUAAAAUGUAAGAAAGCCAGAGAAUGGUUCAAGAACUAUGUGGACCCUAGAAUAGACAGUAUGACAUGGGAAGAGUUCGCCAACGAAUUUGCUGGGUGGGCUUUCCCUGACAGUUCUAGGGAGCUAAAGGUUGUGGAGUUUGAGCAGUUGAGACAGACGGAGGAGAUGAGCGUUGAUGAGUAUACAGAUAAGUUCCUGGAAUUGUUACCAUACGUGGGUCAGGCGUAUGAUACGGAUCAGAAGAAGGCAAAGAGAUAUGCCACGAGGCUUCAUCCCAGGUAUUUCUCCUUGAUUCUCCACGCGGAGAAGGAGAGUUUCCACUCCAUUGUGGAUGCUGCUAGAAAGAUGGAGGCCAGUGCCAUAAGUCAGGGCGUAGUCAAGCAAUUAAAGGCACAGUCUUCUAGUGCUAAACCAGGUUCCUCCUCACAGAGUACGGCAAGUGCGAGCAAAAAGAGAUGGGAUAAAUUCAGAGGAAAGAGAGGCAAGUUCUGGACCAGGAUUAAGACGGGUCUGGGCAUGAGUAGCGGCUCCAGCUCUGGCACAGAUCUUCCAGUUUGCAAUAGGUGUGGGAGACCGCACAGAGGAGCUUGUUUGUUGGGAUCUACAGCCUGCUAUAGAUGUGGGCAGGAGGGACAUUAUGCACGGGAAUGUCCUCAGGCGACUUUGGUCACACCAUCCCAGCAGAUGACCUCAGGUAGUGUCGUCCAGUCAGCAGCUUCAGCCCGUCCACCAAGCAGUGGCAGAGGUAGAGGAAGAGGGGCAGCCUCUUCAUCAAGGAUGGGUUCCCGAGGUGCAGGUCCGUCAGCUCCAGUAUGGAUUUUCACCAUGACGCAACAGGAGGCAGACACUUCGAACACAGUGGUGUCAGGUACUCUCAUCAUUGGGUGUUCAGAGGUGUAUGCUUUGAUGGACCCCGGUGUUUCUCACUCUUUCAUUUCUUCUAGAGCCGCAGAGAGAUUGGGGUUGAUUGUAUCCGAGUUAGACUGUCCUCUCUGGGUCAGUGGACCUAGAUGUGACCCAUCAUUGGCAGAGUCAGUCUGUCAGUUCAGUCCAGUGUUUAUAGAGGAUAGAUGCCUUCCAACUGACCUUGUGGUUCUAGAGUUGACAGAUUUUGAUGUCAUUCUAGGGAUGGAUUGGUUAUCUACCUAUAGUGCUACCUUGCAUUGCAGGGACAAGGUAGUGAGUCUUAGAGACCAGGAUGGGUCAGAGUGUGUCUUCAGAGGAGACAAGAGAGGGACACCUAGGGGUUUGAUAUCAGCCCUUCAGGCUCGUAGGAUGUUGAGGAAGGGGUGUCAGGGGUUCCUAGUAUAUGUGAGAGAGCUAGACAGUCGGGUUAGGGAACCAUCCUCAGUACCAGUUGUUAGAGAAUUCCUAGAUGUGUUUCCUGAAGAGCUUCCAAGACUACCACCUGAUAGGGAAAUAGAGUUCGAGAUAGAGUUGAUGCCCGGUGCCAGACCGAUCUCUAUUCCUCCCUACAGGAUGGCGCCAACAGAGUUGAGAGAGUUGAAAGAACAGUUACAGGAUUUGGUAGCAAAGGGUUUCAUCCUCCCGAGUACCUCCCCUUGGGGUGCUCCAGUAUUAUUUGUCAGAAAGAAGGAUGGACCACUUAGACUUUGUGUCGAAUACAGACAGUUGAACAAAGUCACUAUCAAAAACAAGUAUCCUUUACCCAGGAUCGAUGAUCUAUUCGACCAACUGACAGGAGCAGGUUGUUUUUCUAAGAUAGAUCUGAGAUCCGGAUACCAACAGUUGAAGAUUAGGGAAGGAAAUGUAUCCAAGACUGCUUUCCGAACCAGAUAUGGGCAUUAUGAGUUCCUAGUGAUGCCGUUCGGGUUGACUAAUGCCCCUGCAGCAUUCAUGGAUCUCAUGAACAUGGUUUUCAAGGAGUACUUGGAUCGUUUUGUGAUUGUCUUUAUAGAUGAUAUCUUGGUGUACUCCAGGAAUGCGGAGGAGCAUGCCCAGCAUCUGAGACUAGUUUUGCAAACUUUGAGAGAGCAUGGCUUGUAUGCCAAGUUCUCCAAGUGCGAGUUCUGGCUAAGGAGCAUUGCCUUUUUGGGACAUGUCGUAUCAGAGGAAGAAAUAACAGUAGAUCCCAAGAAGGUAGAGGUAGUAGCCAAUUGGCCUACACCCACGACAGUGACAGAGAUCAAGAGUUUUCUGGGAUUGGCAGGCUACUAUCGGAGGUUUGUUCAGAACUUUUCGAAGAUAGCUGCUCCUAUGACCAGACUGACCAGGAAGAAUCAGAAGUUCGUAUGGGCAGAGGAUUGUGAUGAGAGUUUUGAAGAGUUGAAGAGACGGUUGACUUCAACACCGGUGUUAGCUCUGCCGAACAGUGAUGAUGAGUUCACAGUGUUCUGUGAUGCAUCCCGAGUGGGAUUAGGUUGUGUGUUAAUGCAGAAUGACAGAGUGAUAGCUUAUGCUUCUAGACAGCUGAAGAGGCACGAGCUGAACUACCUGACACACGAUCUUGAGAUGGCAGCUGUUAUCUUUGCACUUAAGAUGUGGAGGCAUUACCUCUAUGGGGUAAAGUGUGAGAUCUAUACGGAUCAUAAAAGCCUGCAGCACAUCUUAAGUCAAAGAGAGUUAAAUUUGAGGCAGAGACGGUGGGUAGAAUUGCUCAGUGAUUACGAUUGUAAGAUCCAGUAUCAUCCGGGUAAGGCUAAUGUUGUAGCUGAUGCCUUAAGCCGGAAAUCACUUGGCAGUUUAUCCCACGUUGUAGUAGAAAGAAGACCGGUGGUGAAGGACUUUUACAGAUUUAUGGAUGAAGGGCUACAGUUGCAGUUAUCUGGUACAGGUGCUUUGAUUGCACAGAUGAGAGUUACACCAGUGUUUCUAGAGCAAGUGGCUCUGAAACAGCACGAAGAUCCUGAGUUAGUGAAGAUUGCUAGGACUGUUCAGUCUGGCAACAGUGCAGAGUUCAGAUUUGAUAGUGAGGGGAUUCUUCGUCACGGUAAGAGAUUAUGUGUACCAGAUGAUAGCAGUUUGAAGGAAGACAUUAUGAGGGAAGCUCAUAGUGCGAGGUAUAACGUUCACCCCGGAGCCACCAAGAUGUAUCAAGACCUGAGAAGGGUGUAUUGGUGGCCAGCGAUGAAGAGGGAAGUGGCACAGUUUGUGUCAGCCUGCGAGACAUGUCAAAGGGUGAAGCUAGAACACCAGAAGCCGGCUGGAAUGCUUAACCCACUGCCGAUUCCAAAGUGGAAAUGGGAGAACAUCGCUAUGGAUUUUGUAGUGGGGUUACCAGCGACGUCCAACAGGCUAGACUCUAUAUGGGUGAUUGUGGACAGACUGACGAAAUCUGCUCACUUCAUUCCAGUCAGGAGCAACUAUUCUGUGGAUAAGUUAGCGCAGGUCUAUGUAGAAGAGAUAGUCAAACUGCAUGGAGUUCCAGUGUCGAUAGUAUCAGAUAGAGGACCGCAGUUCACCUCCAGGUUUUGGCGGAGUCUGCAAGCUGCUAUGGGUACAAGAUUGGAUUUCAGCACGGCUUUCCAUCCACAGACAGACGGUCAAUCCGAGAGGACCAUCCAGACCAUAGAAGAUAUGCUGAGAAUGUGUGUGUUAGACUUUGGCAGUUCUUGGAGGCAGCAUCUACCUCUGGUGGAGUUUGCCUACAACAACAGCCAUCAUGCUAGCAUAGGGAUGGCUCCUUAUGAAGCUCUGUAUGGGAGGAAGUGCAGAACACCUGUUUGCUGGGAAGAGGUAGGAGAGAAGGCUCUUGCAGGGCCAGAGUUAGUGGAGAUUACCAGCAAGUUAGUACCUGUAAUCAGAGAGAGAAUCAGAACAGCUGUAAGCAGGCAGAAAAGCUAUGCAGACAUCCGUAGGAAGCAGAUAGAGUUCCAGGAGGGGGAUACGGUAUUGCUGAAAGUGUCUCCAAUGAAGGGAGUGGUUCGCUUUGGAAAGAAGGGUAAAUUAGCUCCACGGUACAUAGGUCCCUUUGAGAUCUUGCAGAAGAUCGGGCCUGUGUCGUAUAAGCUGGAUUUACCUGCAUCGAUGGAACGAGUUCACCCGGUAUUUCAUGUUUCUAUGUUGAGAAAGUUUGUGUCAGAUCCAGAGAAGGUUCUUAGUGAGCCUGAGGUGGAAAUCUUAAGCGAUCUCACCUAUGUCGAGCAGCCAGUGCGGAUCAUUGACACCCAGAUUCGAAAGCUGAGAAACAAGGAGAUACCAAUGGUAAAAGUCCUGUGGAACCACCAUAAUCUAGAAGAGUGCACCUGGGAGACACGGGAGUCGAUGCUCCAGCAAUAUCCAUAUCUAUUUUAAGGUUAGGUUUUCCCCUUUACUAUGUGUUUAUGUGUUUAUGUGUUUCGUUAUUUGAGGAACAUUCGGGGACGAAUGUUCUUAAGGGGGGAAGAAUGUAAUACCCGGCUCGAGUCCGGCCUCGAAAUUCCUGUAGUCUGGUGGAAUCUCAGGUGUCGGAACCCUCGAGAAGGGUAAGACAUAUGUUUUCAUGUGUGUUUUAAGAGUUUUGAAUGUUUUCAAGUGUGAAAGGAAAUGAGUUUUGAAAGAAAAGCAAUAAGGGAGAAAUGCAAAGGUUCGGCCGCCGAAGGUCACUUUCGGCCGCCGAACAUUGCAUGGUUUCGGAUUCACGUUCGGCUGCCGAAGGUGGUUUGGCCAGCCACCUAUUUAAGAGCCAAAGGUCGGUGGAAGGAGGAUAUUUCUCCUCCACUUGCAGCCAGAGGUGAGUUCCAGCCUCUCCCAAGUUGACUUUCAUGUUUUUCACCAAAUCUUUCAAGGGUUUUAUAAGUCUUGGUGCGUUUUGAAGGUUUUGAGAAAAACUAGCAAGUUUGGACAUUUGGAGCUUUGGAAGAGGUGUUCUUCAUAUCUCCACGUUAGGAUCACUUGAUCUCUUGUUUGGAAGAGGUAAGUCAAGAUCCAGAACCUCUUUUACUGAUUUUUGAAGGUUUUAUGGGAGUUGUAUGGAUAGUAUCCAUGAAUAGGGUUUUGGUUGAGGUUUUGCAUAAUUUUAUGUUUAAGCAUGUUUAAGUGUUGUUUGUAUGUGUCUUGGGGUGAUACGUGAGUUAUAGGCCCUUUUGUGCAUGUUUUAUGGUAUGUGCUACUUGGGAGUAGUUGAUAUGCAUGUUGGGUAAGUUUGGGGGAAAGGUUUGCAUGAAACAGAGCAGGGUUCUGCCCAGCGGGCAAAACUAGGUUCGGCCGCCGAAGGAAGGUUCGGCCGCCGAACCCCUUGUGGAGGCAGUUUCGGCUGCCAAAGCUUGCCCCCGAAACUUGGGACUUUCGUCUCUGGAGGCAAGGUUCGGCCGCCGAACCUGCCGCCGAAAAUG
rnacentral:lncRNA from 1 species